CAGUGCAGUCAUGUGGAGCCUGACUGAGGGAGCUUUUUGUACGGCGCUUUAGCACUGUGUGAACAGACCUUUACUGUGUGUACUGGUGAUUGGUGGGGAAUCUUAGCCCCUGGUGAAGGGAUUGGCAAAUCUUUGCUGGAUGAAUUUUGUUGGGACAUCAGAAAUUAAAGGUGACACCCGUCCCAAACUCACAGUCCUGCCCCCCCUGCACACCAGCGGGACUUCAGCCACGGUGAUGUGCCUGGCUAACGGAGGCUUCCCGUCCGACUGGGCGCUGAGCUGGAAGGUAGCGGGGAGCAGCAGGAGCGGGGACACCAGUGUCUUUGGCCCACAGAAGGACGGCCUGUACAGCUGGAGCAGCACCCUGACCCUCCCUCUCCAGGAAUGGAACCAGGGGCACGCAGUGACCUGCGAGGCAAAGCAGGGCUCCCAGACCGUCACUGAGAUCCUGAAGAAAUCAGACUGCUCCUAGAGUCUCCUCUGUGACUGUCUUUCUUGAUCAUCUCAAAUAUGUGUAGCGUUGAACCUUUCAUGUGUUUCAAAAAAGUACUAAUAAAGGAGUUUGAUGAUAAGAGA